UAGGGAAUCUUCGGCAAUGGACGAAAGUCUGACCGAGCAACGCCGCGUGAGUGAAGAAGGUUUUCGGAUCGUAAAACUCUGUUGGUAGAGAAGAACGUUGGUGAGAGUGGAAAGCUCAUCAAGUGACGGUAACUACCCAGAAGGGGACGGCUAACUACGUGCCAC
rnacentral:rRNA from 1 species